UACGAAGGGGGCGAGCGUUGUUCGGAUUUACUGGGCGUAAAGGGCGCGUAGGCGGCCCUGUUUGUCGCGUGUGAAAGCCCCGGGCUCAACCUGGGAACAGCAUUUGAGACUGGAGGACUUGAGGACGGGAGAGGAGAGUGGAAUUCCCAGUGUAGCGGUGAAAUGCGUAGAUAUUGGGAGGAACACCAGUGGCGAAGGCGGUCCCCUGGGCCGGAACUGACGCUGAGGCGCGAAAGCGUGGGUAGCAAACGGG
rnacentral:rRNA from 1 species